rnacentral:rRNA from 1 species
CAAAAACAUGUUUGUUUGGAGCUAUAAAGAAUUUGACCUGCCCACUGAUUAAUAAAUUUAAGGGCCGCAGUAUUCUAACUGUGCAAAGGUAGCGUAAUCAUUAGGUUUUUAAUUGUAAUCUUGUAUGAAUGGUCGGACAAAAGAAAAACUCUCUUUAUAUUAAAUUUUGAAUUUAACUUUUAAGUGAAAAGGCUUAAAUAUUCUAAAGGGACGAUAAGACCCUAUAAAACUUUACAUUGUAAUUACAUUUUAGUUAAAUUUGUAAAAUAAAAAUUUUAUUUAGUUAUUUGUUAUGUUGGGGAGACAUAAGUAAAAUAUUAUUUUAACUGUUUUAAUAAUCAUACAAUUAUUAGUGAGUUAGUAGAAGAUCCUUUUUAAAGAUUAAUAGAUUAAGUUACUUUAGGGAUAACAGUGUAAUUUCUUUUGAGAGUUCUUAUCGAAAGAGGAGGUUGCAACCUCGAUGUUGAAUUAAAAUAUCUGUAUAAUGUAGAGGUUAUAUGAGAAGGUCUGUUCGACCUUAAAAUUUUUACAUGAUUUGAGUUCAAACCGGCGUGAGCCAGGUUGGUUUCUAUCU